AUUGAACGCUGGCGGCAGGCCUAACACAUGCAAGUCGAGCGGAAACGGCAGUAUUGAAGCUUCGGUGGAUUUACUGGACGUCGAGCGGCGGACGGGUGAGUAACGGCUGGGAACCUGCCCUGACGAGGGGGAUAACCGUUGGAAACGACGGCUAAUACCGCAUAAUGUCUACGGACCAAAGGUGGCCUCUACAUGUAAGCUAUCGCGUUGGGAUGGGCCCAGUUAGGAUUAGCUAGUUGGUAAGGUAACGGCUUACCAAGGCGACGAUCCUUAGCUGGUUUGAGAGGAUGAUCAGCCACACUGGGGCUGAGACACGGCCCAGACUCCUACGGGAGGCAGCAGUGGGGAAUAUUGCACAAUGGGGGAGACCCUGAUGCAGCCAUGCCGCGUGUGUGAAGAAGGCCUUCGGGUUGUAAAGCACUUUCAGCAGUGAGGAAGGUAGUGUACUUAAUACGUGCAUUGCUUGACGUUAGCUGCAGAAGAAGCACCGGCUAACUCCGUGCCAGCAGCCGCGGUAAUACGGAGGGUGCGAGCGUUAAUCGGAAUUACUGGGCGUAAAGCGCAUGCAGGCGGUUUGUUAAGUCAGAUGUGAAAGCCCGGGGCUCAACCUCGGAACCGCAUUUGAAACUGGCAGGCUAGAGUCUUGUAGAGGGGGGUAGAAUUUCAGGUGUAGCGGUGAAAUGCGUAGAGAUCUGAAGGAAUACCAGUGGCGAAGGCGGCCCCCUGGACAAAGACUGACGCUCAGAUGCGAAAGCGUGGGUAGCAAACAGG
rnacentral:rRNA from 1 species